UAUGGCUCUCAGCAGGCGCCUGCUCUGCUCUGCCUGGUCUGUGCCAGUCCUUCAUUUGCUGAGUGUUUGUGUUUAUGCAAAGGGACCUCUUCCUGCAUAUUUAAUCUAGAGCAAGGCUCUGGCUUUUGUUGUGUUUAGACCACAUACCUCCAGUUCCUCUGAACACUGCAGUCAGGGAUCUCUUCAGCUCUCUCACACUACAACUACUGCUUUUACUGCUACUAGCACUGACAGGCUUUUCUUCUGUUUGAGAAGUGGAUUGUAGAAGUCUUGUUAAACCUUGGGGAAUCUACAUUCAUGUUUCAGUAAUGUAAUGAAACUCAGGCUCACGGUUCAUGGACCAGCAUCCAUUUCCAGGAGGAAUGUUCAAACAAGACCACCACCCAUUUUAGGAGGAAUGUUCAAACAAGACCACCACCCAUUUUAGGAGGAAUGUUCAAACAAGACCACACCAAUUUUAGGAGGCAUGUUCAAACAAGCCCACC
rnacentral:lncRNA from 1 species